UCUCCACCAUCUGCUUCGAGCUUAUUGAGCCUCCCAAUGGCUACUACUUCCUCCAAUCUCUCACUGUUGUUAAUUUCAUCUGCAGUUCGUUCAACGUAACGUUAUUGAUUUCUGCCGCAUUGUCAUUCUGUUUUCAUCGUCUACAGGUGCCUGAUAAUUGUUCCUUCCAAUGGCGACUUCCUCCGAUCUCUCGCAGUUAUUUUAUCUGCAAUUCGUUCGAUGUUCUUUAAUUUGAAUGGAUUUCCGGUGUCCAUAUCCUAUUCUCAUCUUGUUUUCACCGUCUUCAGGAUUAAAUUGUUCAAUCAGUUACUCGAGUCGGAUUUUGCCAGAGAAAUUACUCAUCUCCAUCAUCAGGAUUUACAUGCGCAACCUCGUCUACAGGAAGCAUCCAACAAUAGAAGAAGGCCAUCAAUAUUGAGGUAAAUUCUCUAACUUUGUGUGGGAUUCUUCCAAAUGGAUGAUUUUCAUUUACCAUCCUUAUCAUCACUUAUCAUCACUAUCAUCACUAGUAGAGGACACAACAAAGGCAGAAUCUUUGAAUAAGUGGAACUAUAAUUUUGAAUCUAUUUUGAAACAAGAGAUCCCUUGGCGCUCCAAGCAUUCCAAAGGAUAACAAAAUAGAAAGCCCAAUAUGAUUUCUUUUCUCUUAACUACCAAUGGAAAUGCUGAAUUUUAUUUGGACAGGAAUAUACUCUUUUUUGCAUGUUGGGCAAUGAUUUAAUCCAUUUUUCUCUUAUAUUACUUAAUUAACUCCAACUUGAAUGCAUUUUCUUUGAUUUUAUUCUCUUCAAGUAUAUUUGUUUUAUUGUUUUUAACUUCCAAUGGUUGGAAUCUUUAUAUAAUUAUCCCUCUGGGUUGAUUUUUUAAAUAUUCCAAACCUUUCUUUUCUCUGGAGUGCACUCCAACUCUGUUUUCAGCCAUAAAAGACAAA